GGGGGCCGGCGGCGGCGGCG
rnacentral:miRNA from 1 species